CCUACGGGAGGCAGCAGUGGGGAAUAUUGGUCAAUGGGCGCAAGCCUGACCCAGCAACGCCGCGUGAAGGAAGAAGGCCUUCGGGUUUUAAACUUCUUUUAUUAGGGACGAAACAAAUUACGGUACCUCAUGAAUAAGCCACGGCUAACUACGUGCCAGCAGCCGCGGCAAUACGUAGGUGGCAGGCGUUAUCCGGAUUUACUGGGUGUAAAGGUCGUGUAGGCGGGACGGCAAGGCAGAUGUGAAAAUUAUCGGCUCAACCCCUAAACUGCAUUUGAAACUGGCUUUCUUGAGUGAUGGAGAGGUGGGCGGAAUUCGGGGUGUAGCGGUGAAAUGCGUAGAUAUAAGGAGGAACACCAGUGGCGAAGGCAGCCUGCUGGACAUUAACUGACGCUGAGGCGCGAAAGCGUGGGGAGCAAACAGGAUUAGAUACCCCUGUAGUC
rnacentral:rRNA from 1 species